UGUUUGUUUCCGCGGGUAGUGCGCGUAAUCUAGCUUCCCAAAAUCGCUGCCAACCUUGUUUCCGUUUCUUUUCUUCACCAAAACCCUAAUAACGAAAAGAACUCUUUGCAGCUUCUCAAUCUUCCAUCUUCUUCCUCGCUCGCUCGCAUUUUCUUCCAUCCACGACCUAUUUCAUAUGAUUCACACCGUCCUCACCGUGUCUUUAGGGCACACUUCCACUUCAUUCUUUCCCUUCAAACCUUCUCACCUUUCUUCUUCAAUCGCAUUCCACAUGGAGGAAACUCCUCUCUUAUCUUUCAAGUUAAAGCAGUCUAACCAACCCCGCAUCACCAGUCAAGCAUCAUCACACAAGCACGAAGCUAAUGCAGUUUCUCCAAGAAAUGAAGAAUCAGUUGUUCAUGGACUAUCUGAAAUGAUUGUUGGAGUUUUGGGUGGAGGUCAACUUGGUCGCAUGCUUUGUCAAGUUGCUUUUAAGAUAUCAAUUAAGACCGUGGUUCUAGAUCCUCAGGAGAAUUGUUCGGCAAGAUUGUUAUGUUAUCAGCUUUGAUGAAUUGCAUUAUUCUUUACUAUGUAAUCUGAAUAUUGUAUACUAUUGAAUCUUUUUAGGUAUAGUUUAUCGUGACUUAAAGCCCGGAAAUCUCUUACUUCAGAAGGAUGGCCAUGUUGUAUUAACUGAUUUCAAUCUAUCAUUUAUUACAUCUUGUAAACCCCAGAUAUACAAAUUUUCAAAUAUUCAUAACUGCUAUGGGAUUCUAAAUGUUCAUCACAGAUUCACAGUUAUAUGAUGAUAUGAUAUCUAUUAUGGAGAUUUUGGUGUGUUGGUUCUUAGAUAGUUCUAUUGUGGCAAAUGGUGUUUAUCCUAUAAUCAUUUCAAUUCUCUGCAAAUGUACCACUGAUUUGUCUUAUCAUUAUUGCUUAGAAUUUUGUAGCUGAACGACUCCUAGUAUGUCAUAUGAGUUCUUGAGCCUAGGUUCUCUAGUUACUCUAUUAAAAAUAUACCAUAAAGCCAAGAUUUCAAUUCAAUGCUUGUAACCUACUGUAAAAUUUCAAUUGCAAGCCAAACUAUAAGGGUUGUUCAUUUCACUUGGUUGGUUGUGGAUUAAAAUUCUGGUCUACCUGUUUUCUGAUUAUUUUAUGGUUUCUGGAAUUGUAGAUGUUGGUUUUGUAAUAUUGAUUUUAGGGAGUGAAAGUUCGGUACCUGUAAAACAUAACUCCAAAAAAAAACUUAGUAAAGGAGCUAUCAUUGCAAUUUCUGUUGGUGGAGCUGUUCUGUUAUUUUUUGUAGUACUUGUCACUGUUCUUUGUUGUUUAAAGAAAAAAUAUAAUGGAAGCUCGAGAGUUGUUAAAGCGAAGGGACCUAGUGGUGGUGGUGGUGGUGGAAGGACAGAAAAACCGAAAGAAGAGUUUGGAAGUGGCGUGCAAGAAUCUGAGAAAAACAAAUUGGUUUUCUUUGAGGGCUGUUCUUAUAAUUUCGAUCUCGAGGAUUUGUUGAGAGCUUCGGACGAGGUUCUUGUAAAGGGAAGUUACGGAACCGCGUAUAAGGCUAUCUUGGAGGAAGCAACAACAGUUGUAGUGAAACGGUUGAAAGAAGUUGUAGUAGGAAAGAGGGAAUUUGAACAGCAGAUGGAGAUUGUUGGAAGCAUUGGAAAUCACCCGAAUUUUAACACUUAUGGAUUACUUGUAUAAUAUUCACGAUACAGUGCUUUUGCAAUUCAUCAUUUUUAGAAAUGCCGAAAAUAUGUUGCUAACACUGUUCUGCAUCAUUGAAGGCUCAGGAUAAUACAGAUGUAUUAGCCUAUUGGUUGUCUAAUACAUCUACUUUAUUGAUGCUGCUACAACGCACCCUCAAAGCAAGUGGAGCUGCUAGCAACACCUCAGCGGCGGAGAAAAGCAUCAUCUUCUCUGUUUGGAAGGAUGUCUCAAGAGCUAAGGGCAUCUCCUCAAAGUGAUGGAUUGCCUUUUAUAAAUGGAAGAAGUCUUAGUAGACUUGAUGGUUUACGACAAGUAGAAGCAAAAUAUUUGGCACUUCUGUUUAAGCAACAACUUACUGCCUUCCUUGAGAAGUUAAAUGGAAUGAUGGGUGCUGAUUACUAUCAAACUGAGGUUGAGAUUGCAUCUCUGCUGGCAGAAGAAAAAGCCCCAAUUGGUGUUGGAGAAAAUACUGAAAUCAGGGUGUUGAAGAAGCAGAUAAAACUAAACAAGGAUUUUACAUUUAGUCGGCCAUCAUUGUUAUACUGAGGAAUUCAACAACUAUAUGAAGCACUUCAAAUUAUCUGGAGACUCAACAACAACAAGCUGAGAUGAAGGUUACCAGUGUAACUCACUAAUCUGAUAAACCUCAAGAUCCUGCGACUUUAGCAUCACAAAUGCAUGAUGUGCCGCAUCUUCAAUUGCACCUCCAUGUGAAUGAGUGGUCCCUCAUGUUUUAUUAAUCAUCAAACGCAAGAACAACUAAAAUCUCUGCCAUAUCACUGAUUUGAUUUGCGAAAUGAAACUGUGUCAAAGAGAAAUCGAAAAACUGCAACUGCACAACACUGGCUUUCUUGCUCAGAAACGUCUCGCUCGUGGUUUGAAACUCAACCAUACUGAAGUUGUGGCUCUUAUAGCAGCACAGGUUUUCUUUUUCUCUUUAUCGACUCAUUUCCAAUAAGAUUGGAGAGUUUGUUAUCUGAUUGAUUUUGUUUGUGUAGAUUGUUGAAUUUGUUCGGAAUGGUGAUAAGUCUGUUGCAGAGUUAAUGGCAAUUGGAACACAACUAUUAGGAAGGUAUAAUAUGCUCAUUUUGUUGCACUUUCAUUCAAAAAAGUAAUACUAGUAGAAUUCGAAGUUCUUCUCAACGAUUUGUCUUUUAAUGGAGUUCAGUCACUUCGUUUCAUUUUUGGAAACUUAGUUCAUGAGGAAAAAAAGAAUUAUUGUCAAGUAAGUCUAUACUAAUUAAAAGGUAUUUUAUGAAUGAUAUCAUUAAGUAGGGUGAAUUAAUUUA